rnacentral:misc_RNA from 1 species
CGUCCCAAGAACCCUGAAAUUAGGGUUUCUUUCUUGAAUAUCUUCUUUAUUUUAGGUCUGUUUCAUAUCCUUUCAUUUUUCAACUCUUUUACCCAAUUUUCUUAGAAAUAAAUAUUCCCCUUCUGUUUCUGCCAUAACCCACACCAAGCCUUUUUACUAUCAGGCCGUGAAAAUAGAAUCUUCUAAUUCUGAUUAAACAGACAAAAUGGGUUUCUAGAAAAAUGAGAUUGGAGAUGGGAAAUGUUUCAUAAGCCAAUUCAAGAUGUAGAAACCAGCAACCAUGUAGUUGAAAAUUCUUGGAAUAAUGGCAGUGAAAUGGGAUUGCUGGUUCAAAAUAGAGAGAUGAGAUUUUGAUGUUAAAUAAAUUGAUAUUGUUAAUGAUGGAGAGGAGAUCGUUUAGGAAUUUCGACCUAAAGAUUCAACCCAGCCAAGUUUUGAAGAUGAUAUUAAUAGUGCAAAUGGUGAGAAUAAUCCAGGUUUGACAAUGGGAACAAUGGAGGUGUUGCGAAUUCGAGGAA